rnacentral:lncRNA from 1 species
ACCCCACAAGGCUUAGCAUCAGCUUUCGUAUCUCCCCGGUGAGCGACAGUUAUUAAAUCUCGCAUUUCAAGAAAUCAUAAGUCGUUUCCAAGUCAAAAUAAUAAAAUAUUAUUUUUUGGCUCACAGGGGCAUUUUUGUCAUUUUUUUUUCAAAAAUAUUGAAAUCAGCCAAAAAACAUGGUGUAAAAGCUAAAUAUGUUCAUACAUACUUUAAAUCAGAUAACUGAAGUAUAAAAUUACUUUUACAGUGACACGUGGGCCCCCAACUG